GACGAACCGAGCGAACGUUAUUCGGAAUCACUGGGCUUAAAGGGUGCGUAGGCGGGCACGCGAGUCGAGGGGUGAAAGUCCCACGGCCCAACCGUCGGAAGUGCCUCUGAUACCGCGAGUCGUCGAGGGGGAUGAGGGGCGUGCGGAACUUCCGGUGGAGCGGUGAAAGUGACGUAGAUAUCGGAAGGAACACCGGUGGCGAAGCGGCGCGCUGGAUCCCUACUGACGCUGAGGCACGAAAGCCAGGGGAGCAAACGGG
rnacentral:rRNA from 1 species